rnacentral:rRNA from 1 species
GAUGAACGCUGGCGGCGUGCCUAAUACAUGCAAGUCGAGCGAACAGAUAAGGAGCUUGCUCCUUUGACGUUAGCGGCGGACGGGUGAGUAACACGUGGGUAACCUACCUAUAAGACUGGUAUAACUCCGGGAAACCGGGGCUAAUGCCGGAUAACAUUUAGAACCGCAUGGUUCUAAAGUGAAAGAUGGUUUUGCUAUCACUUAUAGAUGGACCCGCGCCGUAUUAGCUAGUUGGUAAGGUAACGGCUUACCAAGGCAACGAUACGUAGCCGACCUGAGAGGGUGAUCGGCCACACUGGAACUGGGACACGGUCCAGACUCCUACGGGAGGCAGCAGUAGGGAAUCUUCCGCAAUGGGCGAAAGCCUGACGGAGCAACGCCGCGUGAGUGAUGAAGGUCUUCGGAUCGUAAAACUCUGUUAUUAGGGAAGAACAAAUGUGUAAGUAACUGUGCACGGCUUGACGGUACCUAAUCAGAAAGCCACGGCUAACUACGUG